CUGCAGCACUGAGAUGUUUUUACCUCAGUGUCUGGGCCGAAUGAAGGAGAGAGAAGACAGAAGAGCCAUCAUGUAGAGAUGUGUGUAUGCUAAAGAAAGGCUUUAGAAAAGUGAUGUCAUGGUCUGAGAUGCAGGAAGUGAUGUCAGAGAUCACCUGUCUUCCAUACCUUGGGAAUCUUUUAGGGUUCUACACAAUCUUCAUAUUUGUGACUGAUUCCGAACUUGGAUUCCUCCAGUUAUUCUUUUCUCUGUAUAAAUUUAAUUCAACCUAUUAGUAACGUGUUCUUAUUUAUGAUAAAGAUUUGCAUAUAAACUGAAUCUGUGUUGUAAAGUUCUGAACCUGCUGGUAAAUUUGUCCUUCAUGAAUAAAAGUGUUUGAGGGAUGUUCUACAGGAAGUGAGCAUAAAGUCGCUCACCAUCUGAAUUAGUUUCAGCUUUAGCCUGUUUUAUAUUCCAAGAGUAAUCGGGUUUCACUCCACAGCGCCUCCUGGUGGGCUCUGGACCCAGAGGAACCCACAGGACCGGCUUGACGCUCUCUGGGUGUCCCUACUUAGGCUUCUGAGGCUGCUGCCCGACCCGACCGAGGGAUAAUCCAUCUGACUGAACAGCUCUUUAACGGUGUGUGGCCUGAAGGACGGCGUCCACCAGGUUCUGAUGUGAUUCAAACUUCUGAUCUUGAAGACGUUAAAAUAAAAUUAUUUUCUCUCGUUGAGCAAAUAGAAAUAAUUUGAUUCUGACUGGGGAGUUUGGUCUGAUUUAACUUCAGGCGGUGAGGAACACCGUUGUAUAUAAACUUCUGGUUGAAGUUUUGGUUGAAACUCUCCAUGAUGUGCAGGGCAGCGGAGGUUCUGACCCAACCCGUUUUUUUUUUUGUUUUUUUUUGGCUUUUGCGUCUUCUGCCCGACGUCAAACAGUCAGUAAGACUCUGGAAGCCAUGGCAACGCAGAGUCCCGAUGCUCGGAGCUCACCGGGUCAGAACAUUUCCUAAAGCAUUGAGUUUCUGCUCCUGCUGGAGUGAACAGAACCAUGGUGACACCAGAACAGAACCAAGCCCAGGUUCUGGUUUUGGCCGUAAUCACUGAGUCAGAUUGUAAAAACCAUGAAUGUGACCUGAGGUUGGACUGCAGCUUUUUAUUUGACCUUUAACCUUUAGUUCUGAUGUUUUCAGAUCUGAAUUAAAAAGGUGAAACGUCGUCAUGAUGGAGAAACUCACCAUCCUGAAGCAAACACCUGGAUGGACAGCACAAAGU